rnacentral:lncRNA from 1 species
UCGCGACAAUGGACACCACUCCACUCUCCAUAACAAACUCCACGUGAUCCUGAACGGCCCCCUGACGCCACUACUCUCUGUAACAAACUCCGUGUGGCCCUGAACAGCCCACUACCAGGCAGUUACAGACAUCACUGUCAAUCAGUUAUGCUCUCCAUCUAUAAAAAGGAACCUUCAAAUACGUUCUUCUCUAAGCUCUAAACUC